rnacentral:misc_RNA from 1 species
CAAUUCUAAAACCCUAAACCCUAGCACAGAGUUUACUUCCUCAUUUCAUUCUCUCCUCCGUCGGCAACCACACAUAUCCACCAGCGAUGGCGCUGUAUACUUCCCGUCUCCGGCGAGCUCUCCCUCUUUCUUCUUCAAUUUUUGCUCAAACUUUCCAUCAACCAAAUCUCAUUUCUCCAAUUGCAUCACUCUCCCAAUGUACGUCUACCCAAAGCAAUUUGUCUAAGCUUAACCGUUUCGAUUUUCCGUCCCAAUGGAGACUAUUUAGGUCUUCUACAAUAUCGCUGUCCUCGAGGUCUCGAUCAUUUGACCGAAAUCCAGCUGACGAUGAAAUAGGUCCCGACACAAUCCUCUUCGAAGGAUGCGAUUAUGAGCAUUGGCUGAUUGUGAUUGAUUUUCCUAAAGAUACUCAGCUUACGAGGGAAGAGAUGAUUGAGACUUAUGUGCAGACUGCUGCUAAGGUCUUCGGGAGUGUGGAAGAGGCUAAGAAAAAGAUUUAUGCCUUAAGCACAACAACUUACCGAGGUUUUCAGGUCUUGUGUUCAGAGGACACAUCGAAGAAGUUUGAAGGUCUCCCAGGAGUUGUGUUUGUACUGCCUGAUUCCUAUAUUGAUCCAGUAAACAAGGAAUAUGGAGGUGACAAGUAUAAUAACGGAGAAAUCAUUGAGAGACCACCUCCUCCACAGUUUCAAAGACAAGGUAGCAGGCCUCGAAGAGGCCCACAGUAUCAACAAGGCAAUUAUCGCCCUCCUCAGCAGAACUAUGGGCCAGCACAGGGUCAUCCACCACAGCAGAAUUAUGGUGCAGCACAGGGUCCUCCACCACAGCAGAAUUAUAACGCGCCACAGGGUCCUCCACCCCAGCAGAACUAUGGCCCACCAAGGUAUCCUCCACCGCAACAGAACUAUGGCUCACGACAGUAUGCUCCGCCACCUCAACAGAACUACAGACAACCACAGGAUCUUUCUCCACAGCAGAAUUAUGAGCGGCCACAGAAUCCUCAGCCAAACCAGAGUUACGGUGUACCUCAGAGUGUUCCUUCUCAGUGGAAUCAUGGCCUUCAGCCAAAAUUUGUACCUCAACAGAUCUAUGGGCCUCAAGGGGCUGGGGAUCAUAGGGGUCCUGCACCUCCUGAUAGCAACCUAGAUGCGUGGGAUAAUUCCCAGGUUGGAUGGGGUGAUUCAAUACGUUCACCUUUUCCUCGAAGAGACCAGAGAGGUGGUGCACCUCCAGAGCAAGGAGGCUUUGGAGGAGUUCAACAUUAUGGGUCUCAACAAGGUGGAAGUUCUGAACAACAAACCUUUGGAGAUCAACCACUGAGAUAUGGGCCCCAGUUUGGGCAGAACAAUCCAAGGCCAGGAGGAAAUCAGAAUUUCCCACCGAUAGAGCAGCAGGGCAACAUGCAAGGGGGGGAGCAGAGGACUUAUGCAUCUAGUGGUACAAUGGGAACAGAUCAAGAGAGAUACUAAAGAUAUGGUGCAGUAUCAUGACGUACUGAGAAAGGAUUGUUAAUUAGCUUUUGACUAGCUAAAGGUGAUGGUUCUUGUCUGAAUAAUUGAGAAAUGAUCAUGAUCACAUCCUCUAGUCUCAACAAUUACCAAGAAACUUGGGCUGAAGAAUGUUGUGGUAAAUAGUUUUCCAAUGUCUUAAUAUGGUUAUGGAAAUGGUGUUUUGUGAAUGAUAACAUGGAGAGACUUAGGUGUAAAACAAGCCUCUUGUAUCUGUUUCUUUUUGUGCAAGG